AUUGAACGCUGGCGGCAGGCCUAACACAUGCAAGUCGAACGAGUGGCGGACUGGUGAGUAAUGUCUGGGAAACUGCCUGACGGAGGGGGAUAACUACUGGAAACGGUAGCUAAUAACGCAUAACACCAGAUGUGCCGAGAUGGUAUUAGCUUGUUGGUGGGGUAACGGCUCACCAAGGCGUAAAUCCCUAGCUGGUCUGAGAGGCUGACCAGCCACACUGGAACUGAGACACGGUCCAGACUCCUACGGGAGGCAGCAGUGGGGAAUAUUGCACAAUGGGCGCAAGCCUGAUGCAGCCAUGCCGCGUGUAUGAAGAAGGCCUUCGGGUUGUAAAGUACUUUCAGCGGGGAGGCGUUACCCGCAGAAGAAGCACCGGCUAACUCCGUGCCAGCAGCCGCGGUAAUAC
rnacentral:rRNA from 1 species